rnacentral:lncRNA from 1 species
CCAUCCCUUUAUGGAAUCCUUGUAGCCCGUGAAAAGAGACAACACACUACGGGGGGAAAAAUAAUAGAAAUUCUGAACCGCCCUAACGAGACGGAAGAAAGUGACGAACAGACAGGCCGUGGGUGUGAAACCCCAGCUUCGGCAGAUGGAUUCGAAACAACUCAUGAACAGAAUAGAAUUUGGGGAUAACAUCCGGGGGGUUACUCCGAAGUAUUGGAAAACCUCGACAAAAAAAGGAGUAAAAGGGAAAGGUAAACCAAAAUCCCUC